GGAGAGGUGUCCGAGCGGUUUAAGGAGAUAGUCUUGAAAACUAUUGUAGCGGAAACGUUACCGGGGGUUCGAAUCCCUCCCUCUCCG
rnacentral:tRNA from 1 species